UACGGGGGGAGCAAGCGUUGUUCGGAAUUACUGGGCUUAAAGGGUGCGUAGGCUGUGCGGAAAGUUGGGUGUGAAAUACCUCAGCUUAACUGAGGAACUGCGCUCAAAACUACCGUGCUCGAGGGAGACAGAGGUAAGCGGAACUUAGGGUGGAGCGGUGAAAUGCGUUGAUAUCCUAAGGAACACCGGUGGCGAAAGCGGCUUACUGGGUCUCUUCUGACGCUGAGGCACGAAAGCUAGGGUAGCGAACGGG
rnacentral:rRNA from 1 species